rnacentral:rRNA from 1 species
AGAGUUUGAUCCUGGCUCAGGAUGAACGCUGGCGGCGUGCCUAAUACAUGCAAGUCGAACGAAUCUCUUUUAGAGAUGAGUGGCGAACGGGUGAGUAAUACAUAGGUAACCUGCCCCUGUGCGGGGGAUAACAGGAGGAAACUCCUGCUAAUACCGCAUAGCCAUGAGCACCGCAUGGAGCUCAUGCCAAAUAUCCUUUAUGGGAUAGCGCAGGGAUGGACCUAUGGCGCAUUAGCUGGUUGGCGGGGCAACGGCCCACCAAGGCAACGAUGCGUAGCCGGCCUGAGAGGGCGGACGGCCACAUUGGGACUGAGACACGGCCCAGACUCCUACGGGAAGCAGCAGUAGGGAAUUUUCGGCAAUGGGGGAAACCCUGACCGAGCAACGCCGCGUGAGCGAAGAAGGCCUUCGGGUCGUAAAGCUCUGUUGUAAAGGAAGAACGGCGCAUACAGGAAAUGGUAUGCGAGUGACGGUACUUUACCAGAAAGCCACGGCUAACUACGUGCCAGCAGCCGCGGUAAUACGUAGGUGGCGAGCGUUAUCCGGAAUCAUUGGGCGUAAAGAGGGAGCAGGCGGCCGCAAGGGUCUGUGGUGAAAGACCGAAGCUAAACUUCGGUAAGCCAUGGAAACCGGGCGGCUAGAGUGCGGAAGAGGAUCGUGGAAUUCCAUGUGUAGCGGUGAAAUGCGUAGAUAUAUGGAGGAACACCAGUGGCGAAGGCGACGGUCUGGGCCGCAACUGACGCUCAUUCCCGAAAGCGUGGGGAGCAAAUAGGAUUAGAUACCCUAGUAGUCCACGCCGUAAACGAUGGUCACUAAGUGUCGGGGGUCAAACCCCGGUGCUGCAGUCAACGCAAUAAGUGACCCGCCUGAGUAGUACGUUCGCAAGAAUGAAACUCAAAUGAAUUGACGG